rnacentral:rRNA from 1 species
ACCUGCUCACUGAAUCUUUUAAAAGCCGCAGUAUUCUGACUGUGCUAAGGUAGCAUAAUCAUUUGUUAUCUAAAUGAUAACUAGUAUGAAUGGUCUGACGAGAAAAUAACUUUCUAAAAAGAAAAAAUUAAAAUUUAUUUUAAAGUAAAAAAGCUUUAUAACUUUAGAAAGACGAGAAGACCCUAGAACCUGUUCUAUUUAUAUAGUUUGUUGGGGUGACAUUAUUC